GCCGGGAUGGCGGAAUUGGCAGACGCAAUCGACUCAAGAUCGAUCGAUCGUAAGAUCAUGAGGGUUCAACUCCCUCUCCCGGCA
rnacentral:tRNA from 1 species